rnacentral:rRNA from 1 species
UACGGGGGGAGCAAGCGUUGUUCGGAUUUACUGGGCGUAAAGGGCGCGUAGGCGGCCACCGCAAGUCGGUUGUGAAAUCUCUGGGCUUAACCCAGAAAGGUCAACCGAUACUGCGGGGCUAGAGUGCAGAAGGGGCAACUGGAAUUCUCGGUGUAGCGGUGAAAUGCGUAGAUAUCGUAAGGAAGACCAGUGGCGAAGGCGGAUCUCUGGACAGUUACUGACACUGAGGCACGAAGGCCAGGGGAGCAAACGGG